AGUAACUGCAGCAGAGACAGGUUUUGAGCUUGUGAUCCUCUUGCUUCAGGUUUGGCUAUGGACAUAAAUCAACAUUUCAAUGCCAAGACCAUUUUACUCUUUAUGGAUUUGUAUUUCUUCUGUUGUCUGGUACAUUGUCCUUUGAGGGGCCUCUCAGCAUUCUGCACUGGCUUUUCCUCUGCCUGGAAUGGUCUCUCGAAUUACCCAUGGACAUACACACCCAAGAAAUGCUAUCUACUCUGUUCCAGCCUGCAAUAAUCACAGAAUUCAAAGUGACUGAUUUCCCUCUUAACAUCUGUCUACAUCUCUGUUCAGAUACUGGAAUAAAACUCAGGACCUCAAGCUUGAAAGAGAAGCACAUUAUGGACUGGCUGAGAUAUCACCAUUUCAACUUCCUAAUAAAAUUUUCAAUUUCUCAAUAAGGAGCUAUAAACAAAUGUUGAAUUUACUUUUUUCUUUUGUUGCACAUCUGUCUUAAAUUUGAAUAACUUUAGCUUAUUAUGUAAGGAAAAUGUCCCUAGAUUCUCUAUUAUGUCAUCAUCUGUCACCUGAUCACUUCCUAUGUAUCUCAGGUCAGUAUUGUGCAAAGAUCUAAGUCCUGCAUCUCUGCAAUUAUGUGUUAAAUAUCAUCUGUAUUGAAAGUCUAUCGCAUUGCAAUCUCAGAAAUUAACUGCUGUUUUAAUUUUAUUUAUUACUUAAAAAUGUUUGCAGAGACACAUCAUUUUACAUAGGUAAUUUUGUUUAGUAAACUCAUUUUGCAAAUACCGGCACUCACUCUUGCAAUGGACAGUCUUACUUUUGCCUACAAUUUCAUCUGUCAUUUGUUGACACUAAGGAAACAUUUUAUAUUAAAGGGGAAAUGGUUUAACAAUCUAGGUUAUUAUAAAUGGCAAAUGUCCUGUGACAUACAGCUUUGCUCCUAUUCACAAGAGAAACAUGGAAAGCUCACUUACUAAACCUCUCUGUAUAUAAUUUUACAAUUAAGGGAGAUUAUGGUAGAGCUGUUGCCAUAGUGAUCAUCUUUUGUCAGGCAUGUCUGUGCUUGUUAAUAAAGAAGAACAUGUUUAGAGCGAAGUAGCUUUGUUACCAGGUUGGAAUCAACAUCUUUGUCCUCUUAUCUGUAUGUCUGUGCCUUCCUUGAAGGUUUCAUUUAGAUGCUGCCAUACAUUGUAUGUAUUUCACAAACUACUGACUCUCUUCUAAUUUAUCAGCUAUUGCUCUUGAUAGCUUUAUUAACCUCCUGCUCAGAACAU